UACGAAGGGGGCUAGCGUUGCUCGGAAUUACUGGGCGUAAAGGGAGCGUAGGCGGAUAGUUUAGUCAGAGGCGAAAGCCCAGGGCUCAACCCUGGAAUUGCCUUUGAUACUGGCUAUCUUGAGUAUGGGAGAGGUUAGCGGAACUCCGAGUGUAGAGGUGAAAUUCGUAGAUAUUCGGAAGAACACCAGUGGCGAAGGCGGCUAACUGGCCCAUUACUGACGCUGAGGCUCGAAAGCGUGGGGAGCAAACAGG
rnacentral:rRNA from 1 species